rnacentral:rRNA from 1 species
UACAGAGGCCUCGAGCGUUAGGCGGAAUCACUGGGCUUAAAGCGUGUGUAGGCGGACUUCUAAGUACCUUGUGAAAUCCCACGGCUCAACCGUGGAACGGCUGGGUAUACUGCCUGUCUUGAGCCAACUAGGGGCGAGCGGAACAGACGGUGGAGCGGUGAAAUGCGUAGAUAUCGUCUGGAACGCCGAAGGUGAAAACAGCUCGCUGGGGUUGUGCUGACGCUGAGACACGAAAGCCAGGGGAGCGAACGGG